rnacentral:lncRNA from 1 species
AUGGACUUUCUGGUGUGACUUUUUCAGCUCUGCGUGGUGGUGCCUCAAGUGCUCUUCAAGCGCUGCCCGCUUACUGUAAUGCCGGUGGGCACCAGCAUUUUCUGAAUCACUCUGUGUACCAUCAUCAUGCUUAUUCCCUUUCAGUCUCUUCAAGUAGACUGGAACGUCACUCUUAAUACUUUUGGAAUCCUCCUCUGUUGGCUCCCAUAUCAUUCUAGGAGGAUUGUUCUGUGCUAGCCAAUCCGCUACUUUGCUCUCUGCGGCCAUCAUCACAGUCUGAAGCCCAGGCAGGUCCUGACCACCGGAGGAAGAAGGCUUCUUUGACUUGUGGCGCUGCUCAGAUGUGAAUUUUGUCACGUGAUCUUUGAUUGUUACUUUCCCUGGUGUGUUGUCAUCAAACUCAAUGGUAAAGGAAGCAUGUCCUGCGCUUGCUGCAUGGGGACUUUGGGUGUCUUUUGUUGGAAUUUCAUGAAUAGCGCCCUCUGCUACCUGUGAAGUUUGCUGGAAUUCUUUUGUAGGAAUUUCAAAAUAACUUGGCUCCCUACAGAAAGGAUAAAGUUCUUCACUUGCAGCUGCAGAUUGCUCCUCAGCUUGCUUGGCAUCUGUGCUGCAUCCUGAAGCCGCCGUCUCAUGCAUCUUUUCUUCACGUUUGCUAUCUGGUUUACAGCCACCUUUUUCAUCAGCUUCAUCCUCACCCCACCAGGCUGGCUGUCCAUACAAAGGAGUACCACGAGGCAUGGUAGAAAGAUCUAUGGAUUUCUCUUCAGAUUUCAGUGCUUCAGUAGUCUUGUGGUGCACUUCAGCUGUGGAGUCUGUUUCUUUGGACUCUGAACUUUUGGAGCUGGUUUGCUUUGACCCUUCUGCCUCUGAAGAUUUCUGGGAUAACUGGAGUUGGCUUGUAAAUUUUUCAUGCUACAUGACAUUAAGUAAAUAAAUAAAUUUCAAAGAAUGAAAAAAAAUCUUUUACCAAUAACCACGUAAUGACAGAGCACCACCUAGGCAAGGUCCAUUGUUACCUUAAGAGCUUCUUCAGGGACUCUCAUCUCUCCUCUGACAACAGUAAAAAGAUUAGUAUCAUAUCCAAAUCUCAGUUUAUCUUCUAAUUUUAGAGUGAUGUACGUCUGCUCUGGAAUCCUCACAUCAUUCACGAAUGUCCCAUUCAAGCUACCUAAAUCCUUCACUAAGUGUUCAUCUGUGGAAGGUUCAUAGUUAAGUACAGCAUGUUGCUUGUCCACGCUUCGUGACUGUAACAUCAGCUCACAGUCAUCUCUUCCAACAAAAAUCAUUUCUCGUGGCAGCCGAUGGCGGGUGCCUCCACUGCUCA